CGGUAGGAACAUGUGGUUUAAUUCGAUGAUACGCGAGGGAACCUUAGCCCGGGCUUGAAUUGCAGAGGAAGGAUUUGGAGACAAUGACGCCCUUCGGGGUCUCUGUGAAGGUGCUGCAUGGUUGUCGUCAGCUCGUGCCGUGAGGUGUCGGCUUAAGUGCCAUAACGAGCGCAACCCCUCUCCUUAGUUGCCAUCAGUUGAAGCUGGGCACUCUGGGGACACUGCCACCGUAAGGUGUGA
rnacentral:rRNA from 1 species